UACGUAGGGGGCAAGCGUUGUCCGGAUUUAUUGGGCGUAAAGAGCGUGUAGGCGGCCUGAAAGGUCAGCUGUGAAAACUCGAGGCUCAACCUCGAGACGUCGGUUGAAACCAUCUGGCUAGAGUCCGGAAGAGGAGUGUGGAAUUCCCGGUGUAGCGGUGAAAUGCGCAGAUAUCGGGAAGAACACCCGUGGCGAAGGCGGCACUCUGGGACGGUACUGACGCGGAGACGCGAAAGCGUGGGGAGCGAACAGG
rnacentral:rRNA from 1 species